CCUAAAUUGAGAAAAUUAUUAUAAAUUAUCCAACAAAAAUAAAAAUAAAAAACACCUCUCUAAUCUCACUGAAAGGACGUUGUUAUGGCGUGUAAAUAAAAUUAUACUUCAAAAGCAACGAUUAAAAUAAAACAAACUCGCCUAAACACUUCGCUCCAUCAGUGGCUCUGAGCUCUGUGACAGCGCCUGCUCUCAAUCCUGCGUUCAUCCCAUACAUCUCUUAAUCCCAUUCAGAAUUCUAUUCAAUGCAGAGCUCUUUUAGAGCUUUUUUUUUUUUUUUUUCUUUUUUUUUUAACAAUUCCAGGAUCACUAAUGGGAGGGAAGAGGAAAUCAUUUAUCAUCACUUGUCACCAGGAUGGACAAGGGAAAGAGGCUGAAUGCAGGAGAGACAAAAGUGGAGGACAACAGGAGCUAUUUAUAUUUGAUAUGCUCCUGUAUAGAUCAGGAAAAACGUGCAAAGAGACACGUCUAGGGGGAAUUACGCAUGCAGGUGAGUCGGUGUGUUAAUGCGGUCAGUACAUGAUGAAGAUGAAACACGUCACACUCACAGAAAACACAAAGCAUGCAUGCUGUAUCUGAUGCACAGAAAUACUGACAUACUGAUUUAUUACUACGUGCAAUAAAGACAGCCUUUACUGACGCUCACCUACACCUUCUCUACAGGGUCAGGAACAGUUCCUGAGGUUUCUAUUGUUCGAAUAGACAAAAAGUGUCCAGUGUGUACAAUUCAUACUUAUUCUAAUGAGUAAGAGUGAUUUACAGUUAAAGCUAUGAGCAGUAACCCUGCUCCUGACCUUAACCAGGACCACUUACAGCCUACAAUAAUCAACCUCUUAAUCUUCUGAUGAUUACUGCUUUCACCUGGGGCUUUAACCUUUAACCUCAGAUUUAUAACGAGAUCCUGAGGGUUCGGUUUCUGUGUUCCCGUGCGCUCGCUUGCUAAAGAAUGAAAGUAAACUAAUAUCAAGAAUGCUCGGGUCAGUGAAUCACUAUGAAAGACGAUCUGAAAGACCCACACCUCAUCGCUUGUACAUCCUCCCAAGCGCACUUUUGAACUUUUCCUGCUUCUGACACAUCAUUUGAUGACUACAGAAAAAGAAAAGGAGUGACUGUCAGUAGGGUGCUGCUAAUUUAAAUGUGAAGAGGAUCAUCCCUUUUUUUCCACAAUCCCAUUUUCAAUCAGUUAUUCUUGAUUGCAUUAGGGGUCAUGGGUUAAAAGGGGAAGGAUGGGGAGAGACUCUGCAGUUAUUUGGAGAUUAAAAGCCAUAAUAAUCGUUAGAACGAGCAGAGGAACAGACAAGACUCUGAUUGUCGCCCCCUUGUGCCAAGGAAGCUGCAUAGCAAUCUACAGAACAAACAGCCAACAAGCCAACUGUCCGGAAUUGGGACCAAUCACGUUUCAUUUUAGCCAGAACUGCUAAUCAUCCAAAAAUAUCAAUUUAUAUAACACUAGAGUUGGUUUUCUGGACCGGCUCAACUGAAACGGAUUUGAAUCAGGUUUCGCCUGAAAAAUAAAUAAUAACUAAUGAAAAAAAGCAGCUGAAAAGAAUCUGAAGAUCCCCAUCCUGACUAAAAUCCACUCACGUCAAACCGAGUCGACGACACACUCUUUCAUCAAACGCCUCACCUCAGACUCACCCCGUCACACACUGGCAGGACCGCUAGCAAUAUAUGUGUCUGAGUGAGUGUGCAUGUGCGUGUGUCUGUGUAUAUCACAAUCCUGUUCUAAUUACUCUGACUACACUUCAUGUCACUAUCUAUGAGCGUCUGCUGUUGGGUUCAUGAACUUUCUAAUUUAACAGAGAGACGGAUUAUCUCAUUUUUGAAUAAGUUCAUUAGCAAAGAUGCAGUCAGUUUAGCUACGUUUAAACCAGGCAGGCUCACGGUUACGUCUAGGUGGUUAUUCUUGAACUGUCAUGUUUCUAUGUGUUUCAGUGCCAGUGUGCUGUGGGGUUGAUGAAAAUAACCAGAAAUUAAAAUUCCCCAUACAGGGGUUGCCAUGCGGCGUGCAGAGAGAGAAUCUAACCUCAGCGUUUCCGGCCUAGAAAAUACACCAG
ensembl:lncRNA